rnacentral:rRNA from 1 species
GAUCCUGGCUCAGGAUGAACGCUAGCUACAGGCUUAACACAUGCAAGUCGAGGGGCAGCAUGAACUUAGCUUGCUAAGUUUGAUGGCGACCGGCGCACGGGUGAGUAACACGUAUCCAACCUGCAGAUGACUCGGGGAUAGCCUUUCGAAAGAAAGAUUAAUACACGAUGGCAUAGUUCUUCCGCAUGGUAAAACUAUUAAAGAAUUUCGGUCAUCGAUGGGGAUGCGUUCCAUUAGG